rnacentral:RNase_P_RNA from 1 species
UGAGUAAGACAGGCAAUCACGAGCUGCAAAGCUCGAGGAAAGUCCGAACUCCAUAGAGCAGGAUGCUGGCUAACGGCCAGUGAGGGUGACCUCAAGGAAAGUGCCACAGAAACAUACCGCCCGGCCGACCCUAUAGGCGCCUAUCGGUCGGGUAAGGGCGAAAUGGUGAGGUAAGAGCUCACCAGCAGCCGGGUGACCGGCUGGCUGGGUAAACCCCAUCUGGAGCAAGACCGAGCAGGAGGAUAGCAGGUUCGCUCGCGAGCCUGCUUGCAGGUUGCUCGCCUGUCAGCCUCCGGGUUGGUCGCUUGAGGCGUUGGGUAACCAACGUCCUAGAGAGAUGAUUGCCGCUGGAGUGUCGUAAGGCACUCCAGGUACAGAAUUCGGCUUAUGGCUUGCUCAGACC